CCUACGGGAGGCAGCAGUAGGGAAUCUUGCACAAUGGAGGAAACUCUGAUGCAGCGAUGCCGCGUGAGUGAAGAAGGCCCUUGGGUUGUAAAGCUCUUUCGUCGGGGAAGAAAAUGACUGUACCCGAAUAAGAAGGUCCGGCUAACUUCGUGCCAGCAGCCGCGGUAAUACGAAGGGACCUAGCGUAGUUCGGAAUUACUGGGCUUAAAGAGUUCGUAGGUGGUUGAAAAAGUUGGUGGUGAAAUCCCAGAGCUUAACUCUGGAACUGCCAUCAAAACUUUUCAGCUAGAGUAUGAUAGAGGAAAGCAGAAUUUCUAGUGUAGAGGUGAAAUUCGUAGAUAUUAGAAAGAAUACCAAUUGCGAAGGCAGCUUUCUGGAUCAUUACUGACACUGAGGAACGAAAGCAUGGGUAGCGAAGAGGAUUAGAUACCCUCGUAGUCCAUGCCGUAAACGAUGUGUGUUAGACGUUGGAAAUUUAUUUUCAGUGUCGCAGCGAAAGCGAUAAACACACCGCCUGGGGAGUACGACCGCAAGGUUAAAACUCAAAUGAAUUGACGG
rnacentral:rRNA from 1 species